rnacentral:rRNA from 1 species
UACGAAGGGGGCUAGCGUUGCUCGGAAUCACUGGGCGUAAAGCGCACGUAGGCGGCUUUCUAAGUCAGGGGUGAAAUCCUGGAGCUCAACUCCAGAACUGCCUUUGAUACUGGAGAGCUUGAGUCCGGAAGAGGUGAGUGGAACUCCGAGUGUAGAGGUGAAAUCGUAGAUAUUCGGAAGAACACCAGUGGCGAAGGCGGCUCACUGGUCCGGUACUGACGCUGAGGUGCGAAAGCGUGGGGAGCAAACAGG